AAAUCAGAUUAUGAUGUCCCUUGAAUGUGAAUAUAAAUCUAAAUUUAAACAGUAUUAUAUUAUAUAGAGCGAUCGUGUCUCUUUAGGGCGCUUGGAGAAAACCACGCAAUUCAUAUGGAUUUCUUUGGCGAUGUUUUUUUGCGAUGAACUUUUUGAAACGUGAACAUCUUUGAUGAAUCUUUUCAUCGGAGGGACAUAAAUCUCUCAGAUUUCAUUAAAAUAUCUCUGCUUUUCUUCCGAAGAUGAACGAAAGUCUUGGAGGGUUUGGAGCUUAAGGCUUUCUGCAAGCGUGUAUGGCGUCUGGCUUUUGGAAUCUCACUGACUUCGGAUAAGAACAAAGAUCAAAUUAUAAGAAGGGCUGCUUAUAAGACCAUACAGUACAUCUGAAACUGCUGAGGCUGGGAGGGUUUCCGACCAGCUACAUUGUUCUGUCAUUCUUAAAUAGAAAACAAAUCACCAAUCAUCAUUUGCCUUUUUUUUGUGCGUGUGAGAAAUAUUAACAUUCGUUGUUAUUCUGAUCAGCUGCUAUAGAAGACAAACUGAAAUCUGAGUGCAGAGACAAGCAAAGGAAUAGCACUUGUGCAAAGUAUUGUAUGCCUGAAUGACUAGGCUGUGCCCAGGUCUCCAGAACCUGCGACGACGCUCCAUCGGCCCUUAGUAUCUGGCUUCAGAUCCACCAGCUCUGUCUCCAUCAGUCGGCCCCCAGAUGUCGGCAGCCACACCAUCUACAUCUUGGCUCCUCGCUCCCUCGACUCCGCCGUGUGUUAUCAGCACUGGGAUGCUCUAGGUCUGUGCCAUGUGCCAAACUCCAUCUAAGCCGCCAGGGCAUCAUCGUCAUCCUCCCAUCACCAUCCCUUCACCACAUCCUGCCAUCAUCCCUCACCUUUGCCUCUCACCAUCCUUACGGCAUCUCCUUGUCCACCUCCAAACCCCCCCCCCUUGAACUUUAUCAUCUUCAGUCUUUGCACACACAUCUAUUCACCUCUGCACUUUGUUUUUCAGUAAAUUUUUGUUUUUUUCUUUAGAAAAUUGCAUUGUAAUUUUUAUUUAUUCAUUGAUGUAAAAUUAUGUACUUUUCAGUAAUACAGGUAUAACUGAAAUGUUCUACAAAUGGAUAAGGUAGCUCUUCCAUAGCAUUUCAGUCUUUUUUUCAUUUAUUAUAAUGUUUUUUGUAUAAUGUUUUAAAAUGUACUUGAGUAUGUUUUUAAUAGUAUAUUUAAUAGUAUGUUUUUGUUUUUCACCAAAGUAUAUA